CAGUCCAGCUUCUCUGCGCUGUGGAGCCCCAGUCAGUCCGACAGUGAAGGACACAGAAAGAGGAGAGAUUGUGCAGCAGUGCAGCGCAGGAAUAAUUAACUGAAUUAAAAUGGCAAAGAAGCAGGAGAAAAGCAUCACCCUCUCAUCUGUCUGACUGAAUAGUUGGAUAAAGCUGACAAGGAGGUACAACAGGAAUAACAAGGAGGAGGGGGAGGAGGUGCCAGAGGUCCGUUCAUGCUUAUUUCUCCUCUCGCACCGUCCGCCUGAGGAGCUUUGCUGCUGAUGGUGUCACUGCGACAGCGCUCAGUGAGGGAGCUGUGUGAGCGCGCUGGUGUGUCUGUUUAAAUAUCAACAGCUGAGAGUUCAUCUAUCAGGUGGAUGUGGAGUAAAUCUGGGAUUUGUGAGCUGGAAGAGUUUUGUUCAGGUKUCAGUUGAACAKUCCUCAUUUUCCCUCCUCUUCCCUUUUUUCCUUUGGUGCAUUCGUCUGUACGAGAAGCUUUGCCUGUUUGAUCAGGAACUGCUGCUGCGCUCUGCUUCCCCCUUUCCUACCUCGCUCUUCUUCAGCCCUCUGCCGGCUUUUUAGUWACUGUUCUGGGACUACAAUUGGCGGUCUGGUUUGGUGGCUCCCCCACAGACAGAAAAAGCAUAUGGAUGCCACUGCGUCUUAUACAUCGUUACCCAAUAUGCCAGAAGCCUGAAUCCUUGGGCGGACUCCACUGCAUAGGCUUCCAACCACAGUUGAUGCCUKCUGCCAUUCAGCCAACCCACACAUCAUCUUUGGCAGAUCCAUGUUGACUCUAUCUGUUCAAAGACUCAAUAGUCUCCAGCUGCUUCUUUGAGGACAUCAGAAAGAGAAAGGAAAAGUGGAAAAAAAAAAAAGAAAGAUUGCCGGGGUUUGAAAAUCUUGCUCCUCUGAUGAAUUCCCUUUUUUUUCCUGGAUUCUGAUUCUGUGAAGUGAAAAAAACCUGAACUGACACCAACCCUAAGCCUUGACACAGCGGGUGAAAUGUAAUUGAAAAAAACAAAAAUAUUGGACACUUCUUCCAACGAGCCUCCCCGCAGUGCUGAGUCACAGAAGGUGACAUGCGUCUCAUCCUACCAUGUAGCCACAACAACUUGAGGAAACCUCCCAGAAACUUUUCUUCCAAACACUCAGCUAUUUUUAACAAGCUGAUACACAACACUGAGUCAAUCAGCUGAGAGGAGACUUAURAAGUGCCACUGGGUUAUUAYCAGCCUGUKCACUUCCUAUUUACAUCUUUAAUCUUUGUUUUCUGAGUAAUUAUCUUUUUAAUUAAUGGCGACAGAGGCGUGAAUUCCUCCCUGCCACCUUCUUCAGCUCUUUCCUUUUUCACCGCUGCUAGAGACACCUGAAACCAAUUAACUACAACUGAUAUAGUUAUGGAUUAGACACAAGAAGAKCUGGAGUGAUUAGAUGUAAAUACAAAGAGAGUAAAAGGCGACCAAGAACAAAACAAGACCAAGAGAACGAAGAGGGUGAAAGAAAACCCGCCGGUCAACCUGGUAUUUGAUAAAAAGGAGGAUCAGAGGGCAGCGGAGGAUAUGGCCAGAUCAAGAUGCCAACACGCYAAGAUAAUAACUAGUUGUGAGUCAGUGGGGAAGAUUGACUGCAGGAGCCCAGAGUCUUGACUGACAGGCAAAGGACUCAUUGCCAUUCUUUGUGCUGUGCGAAGCAUAGCAUCACAGAGAGGGAGAGGAGAAACUCCUGGCUGGCUGCCACAAUCAGGGCCAAUUAGGAGAAUUUGAUUAUAUGCCUUAAUCUUGGCAGUCAGGUGGAAAAGCAGUCAGACRGAGAAAGAGGAGGCUGAGCAGGUGCCACCGAUACACACCAUUAUCUCCGUCCAUCUCUAAUUGAGUUUGUUUCUGCCCCUGUGAGUGUCUCAUCUCCAAACAAGAGUUUUAAGUGGUGGAGUUUSCUCAAGAGAAAACAGGAAAAGAGGGAGAGACAAAAAAAACCCCACUGUGUUUUCCUUUGGAGAUAUACAAGGACUGUUUUCUAUCUCCCUCAUCUCUUUAAACCUAUUUUCCAUCCCUCCCUCAAGAUUUAUCAUCSCAGUAUGGACUUGUCCUUUCUGGAAGUUUCCCUGCAGCUUCCUCUAUCUCCAUAUUGAGCCUGAGAUAAAAGCAAGAGAGGAACCGAUAGGCAUAGAAGGGAAAAGCAGCAGCAAGGUACUGAAUCCGUGGAGGACAGAGCAGACUUUAUUUCCUUCCUCAAUCUCAGACACCCCGAGGCUCCUGCCAAGUGUCCCCAAAGCUGCACUUCCUCUUUUUUAAAUUUCCUCGUCUCCCUCGGAGCCUGCUUCUCUGCUCCCCUCCUUGUGGAUCAUACGCUCCAUCCUGGACCUCACCAAGAUUAAAGUGGCCCCAGUUAUCCGAGGAAAUCCUUUGAUAUCGGCUCCCAGUGUUGUCAUCAUAAUUCUGUGGCGGUACAGGCAGCCAGCAGACCAUUCUCCAUGAGGAGCAGUGGAAGAUGCCGGCUCUGCCAGCACUGCUGCUGUCGAUUUAUGUUGUCGUCCUGCUGCUGACUAUGGCACCUCUCUUCUUCAGCCAGGUCAACACUCUAUCUGCCGUCCGGAUGGCGGCCAUUUUGGAUGACCAGUCUGUGUGUGGUCGUGGUGAGCGUCUGGCUCUGGCUCUGGCCAGGGAGAACAUUAACAAUCAGAUGGMGGGWUCAGCCCAGGCCAGGGUGGAGGUGGAUGUCUACGAGCUGCAGAAGGAUUCCCAGUACGACACCACCGACACCAUGUGCCAGAUCCUGCCUAAGGGCGUGGUCUCAGUGAUCGGCCCUGCCUCCAGUCCCGCCUCAGGGUCGACCAUCAGUCACAUCUGCGGGGAGAAAGAGAUUCCUCAUGUGAAGAUCGGCCCUGAAGAAACCCCCAAACUGCCAUACCUGCGCUUCGCCUCGGUGACUCUCUACCCGAGUAACGAAGACCUCAGUCUGGCCAUCGGAUCCAUCCUGCAGUCCUUUGGCUACCCAACAGCUAGCCUMAUUUGUGCUAAAGCAGAGUGCCUGCUCCGAUUGGAGGAGCUUGUUCGCCACUUCCUUAUCUCCAGAGAGACGCUGUCGGUGCGAAUGCUGGAUGAAAGUCUGGAUCCCACCCCUUUGCUGAAGGAGAUCCGUGACGACAAAGUGGCUACCAUCAUCAUCGAUGCUAAUGCCUCCAUAUCUUAUCAUAUUCUCAGAAAGGCUAAUGAGCUGGGGAUGAUGUCAGCCUUCUACAAGUACAUUCUCACCACCAUGGAUUUCCCUCUGCUCCAGCUAGAUGAUGUGGUGGGUGACCAGUCCAACAUCGUUGGUUUCUCCAUGUUGAACACCUCCCAUCCUUUCUACCUGGAUUUCAUCAGGAGCCUGAACUUGUCGUGGAAAGAAGGAUGCAACAUCAACCCAUACCCAGGACCUGCGCUGUCAUCCGCCCUGAUGUUUGAUGCUGUUCACGUGGUGGUGAGCGCGGUGCGGGAGCUGAACCGCAGUCAGGAGAUUGGCGUGAAGCCACUGAGCUGCACCUCCCCCCUCAUCUGGCAACAUGGGACCAGCCUCAUGAACUACCUACGCAUGGUGGAAUAUGACGGCCUGACAGGCCACAUUGAGUUCAACAGUAAAGGACAGAGGACCAACUACACCCUGAAGAUCUUGGAGAAACACCCUGCAGACCAUAAAGAGAUUGGCACUUGGUAUUCCAACAACACAUUGGCAAUGAACUCAACUUCCUUGGACCUCAAUGCCUCAGAAACACUAGCUAACAAGUCCUUAAUUGUCACCACCAUACUGGAAAACCCAUAUGUAAUGCGCAAGUCCAAUUAUCAGAACUUUCAAGGAAAUGAUCAGUACGAAGGUUUCUGUGUGGACAUGCUGAGGGAGCUGGCAGACAUCCUGAAGUUCUCCUUCAAGAUCAAGCUGGUGGAUGAUGGGCUAUAUGGAGCACCUGAGCCUAACGGCAGCUGGACCGGCAUGGUGGGGGAGUUGAUCAACAGGAAAGCUGACCUGGCCGUCGCCGGCUUCACCAUAACCUCAGAGAGGGAGAAGGUCAUUGAUUUCUCCAAGCCAUUCAUGACUCUGGGAAUCAGCAUCCUCUACCAAGUGCAUCUGGCUCGAAAACCGGGUUACUUUUCCUUUCUCGACCCGUUUUCUCCUGCUGUUUGGCUUUUCAUGCUGCUGGCCUACCUUGCUGUCAGCUGUGUUCUCUUCCUCGCCGCCAGGCUCAGUCCUUAUGAGUGGUACAACCCUCACCCAUGUCUACGGGAGCGGCGGGACAUCCUGGAGAACCAGUACACACUGGGAAACAGUCUGUGGUUCCCAGUUGGAGGCUUCAUGCAGCAAGGCUCAGAGAUUAUGCCRCGCGCCCUGUCCACCCGCUGCGUCAGCGGAGUCUGGUGGGCGUUCACUCUCAUCAUAAUCUCUUCCUACACGGCCAACCUGGCGGCGUUCCUCACYGUACAGAGAAUGGAGGUGCCGAUCGAGUCUCCUGACGACCUGGCAGACCAAACCAACAUCCAAUACGGCACCAUACAUGGAGGGUCCACCAUGACCUUCUUCAUGAACUCGCGGUACCAGACGUACCAGCGAAUGUGGAACUACAUGAAGUCCAAGCAGCCCAGUGUGUUUGUGAAGAGCACAGAAGAGGGUAUCGCCCGUGUCCUCAAUUCCAAGUACGCCUUCCUGAUGGAGAGCACCAUGAACGAGUACUACCGCAGCCUAAACUGCAACCUGACGCAGAUCGGAGGGCUGCUGGACACAAAGGGAUACGGCAUCGGCAUGCCGCUGGGCUCUCCAUACCGAGACGAGAUCACGCUGGGGAUCCUGCAGCUGCAGGAGAGCAACAGGCUGGAGAUUCUGAAGCGACGCUGGUGGGAGGGAGGCCAGUGUCCUAAAGAGGAGGACCACCGAGCCAAAGGUCUCGGCAUGGAGAAUAUCGGCGGGAUCUUUGUAGUUCUGAUCUGUGGCCUCAUCGUAGCUGUGUUUGUGGCCAUCAUGGAGUUUGUGUGGUCAACCCGCCGCACCGCUGAGACAGGCGAGGUCUCUGUUUGUCAGGAGAUGUUGACAGAGUUUCGAAAUGCAGUUUCUUGUAAGAAAAGUUCCCGGGCUCGUCGGCGACGCCCCCUGAGCAGUGCUGGGGGUGGAGUUCUGCGUCACCCCUCCCGACUAGCUCUUGCAGGCCCUAGGCCAAUUCGGCUAGUCCGAGAGAUGCGACUCAGCAAUGGGAAACUCUACAGUGGCACCGGGCCCCUGACUGGGGGUUUGGCGGGGCUGGGGGCAGGUAUGGCGACAGGACCUGAUUUGGGCCCGGGGCCACAGAGGCUCUUGAACGAUCCAUUAGGCGUCAACUCUGCCUCUAGUAACCCUCCUCCRCCUCCCCCUAUGCCAGCCUUUGAGGCUCCGCCCGCCCCACCACGCAGCUUCCUGCAGAGCUGCAGCCAUGUCCGCAUCUGCCAGGAGUGCCGGCGGAUCCAAAGUCUGCGGCCGGCCACGUUCACCCCUCCGCCUCCUCCUCCACCUUCGUCCUCCUCCUCUGCCUCGUCCUGCUCCCGUAUCCCUCCUUCUCUGGCGAUGUCGGGACAUCACCAUCGCCAUAACCCCCACCACCACCUCCACUACCACCACGGGUCCAUGUCAUUGCCCCGCCUCCCUCCUCCUCCUCCCCCAAUCUCAACAGACAGAGCCGACAGUGAUGGGGGAACGGCAAGCCCACUACGGGCGAAAAACAGACCCGCGCCUCCACCCAGGCCACCGCCCGCCAAAGCGCCAACAUACCCACCAACGGACUUACUUGGGGGACACAACUGUGCUUAAAAACAUUGAGUAAAGACUCAAAAGAUACAUUUUAAAACAUUCAAAACUUUUCCUUUGGCCCUAGCAACACAGCUGUACCUGUCCAAACUCCUGAGGAAGAGGGGAGAAGAAACUAUUUGGACCCAUUUGUAGGGUGGAUCCCUCAAAGUGGAGCCUUUGGCUCAGUUCACACUACAAACCUUUACUGAGUGAUGAUUGAUUCUAAGCCCUCUAACCUGGUAGCGGAGAGGAUUAAAUAAAUUGAACUCUGGAAUUUGCAACUUGAAGCAGUUGCACGAAUAGGCAAACAGAGAAUUAGCGAUCAGCUUCAGAUUCAGUCCACCAUCUCUUACCUCGGCAAAUCCUCCCACUGCGAGAACAGACGACUUUGAGACACAAACAGGUAGAGGUCACGGUUGUUUCCAUUUGAAUACUGAAGUAGGUGUUUGUGUAAGAGGAGACCUUCCCGCAGACAAGUGGUAGCAGAGCAGUUGUACAGUAAUCACGGUCUUCUGUCGCUCUUUUGGACGUUUGUGGAAGGAGGAUGUAGCUUUUUUCCCCCCCAUACUGUUUUGCUGUUUGUAAAGAUUCCUGCUGGCUGGUGCUGUGAUCCACAGAGCAGACAAACAAAAAAGUAAUUACUUGCCUAAAGUGUUCAAAACUGUGCUGAGGUAGUUCUUCUGUUACAUAGAAAAUGUAUCAAGUCAGAAAAAUGCACUGUGAGGCAUCUGAAGGUAAAUGGCUGAGAAACAACAAGAGUUCAUUAUUUUUAUAAAGAAAACAACAAAAAACAAGAAAAAAAAGUUUGAAAUCUUUGAGAUGUCAUGUUACACAACUUCAGGAUGUGACAUAACGAUGUUUUUAGCUAAAAAAAAAAAGGUAUUAUUUUUAGCAUCGUUUGGGGAGAAGAACAUCACUUAAGGCCUUUGCACACCAUGUCUCAGUUUAUGUCAGCAGAGUUAUCAUGAAAAUAAAUGUUAUUGUCUAAAAUGAAAUCAGAAAAAGUGUCUGAUGUGCAUCAACCAUUCAGAUAUAAAGAACCUGUAACUGUUUAUAGACGUGUUGGUCUUCUUUUAGAUGUGCUGAUCCAGUAUUGUCAGCAGCAUGCAUGAAUCGAUCUUGAAAUGGUCACAUAUGUUUUUUCAGCUUCACGCUUGGUUGGAUGGACCAGCUUUUUACUUAUUUUUCUACUGUAAACGACAACAAAACCGCCUUGACAACAUAGCAUUUCUAUUCUGCCUUGUACUGUAAAAUUUCCACAAAGGUUUGAUUAAUUAAACCCUUGGGACAACAUUUGCUAGCUUUUGGCUCUCAAAUUUGUUAGAUGACGGAUUAAGACAAUGUGUGUAGACUUGUGCAAAGGCCUUUUGGUUUGUAGUUUUUAAUUUAGCAUAUGAGGCUAUUUCUAUUAUCUAAUGACACUGAUGUCACAAAAUGGGUGAGCAGGUGAAUUUAAAAUACACCUCAAGAUGUCACUUUAACAUAUAUUUUUGUACGCAUUAGGUUAAUGUAAAAUUCAGAUGUAUAAAAUUUAUACUGAGUCAAGUUAGCAGUUUGAAACUCUUUCUUAGCAUGCUAGGCUAAGUGAGGCUAACAGGAAUGGAAAACUAAUUUCAAGAUGUUCCGGCAAGCAGUCAAAUGGGGAAACAUCUCCAGAUCUUAUUUUUGGAAAAUUAUCUUUCAUCCAGAGGCUGAAAAUAUCAGUUUUAUAUAAUUUUGUGUGAAACCAAGCUGCUUAAUAGCAGGGUUAUUUCCACAACGUUAGCCAUAGCUUAAAGCUAACUAGACCGUUCCUCUAAAUACAAAACCUUCAACCAGACUUAUCUUUUUUUUUUUAAUAAGGAUGAUUAAGUGGCCACAAUUGGGAUACUAAAUACUAUAAAUAUUAUUUCAGAUAAUAAUCAGAAGAUAAAAUGACGAGAGUUGUACCAAUUGAGAUUUUCAUCCCCUAAAACUGACCCAAGUAAUUUAAGAUCAGUAUUAGCCGAUACGUAUCUGCAUAUCACCCUACAGCUUAAAAGUCCAAUGAAAUGCAUUAGAUUCAUGGUGUGACUGUGUCUCACCAGUGAGAUUUUAGAUGCUAUAUUGUUUCCUAUUUGUCUUUCUUUUGCUGUAGGAUAACACUUCCAUGUUUCCUCUCUCUGGUCACGACUUGGUAAUUCGGCUCAUAAAACAUUUUUGUAUAAUUUCAGUAAUUCUUGUGCAGACGAACCUUACAGAGAAAGUUCUUCUGCUUCUUAAACUCGGACUUGUUCUUCGAACGUUGUCAGAUCUAAUAGCUAAACGGAGAUGCGUCUGAACGGAGUGCAGAGCGGGUCACGUGACAGAAAUGCUUGUAGUUUAUCUUUCACUCUGAGUGUCACUGUUAAACGGGGGAAAACAAACAGUUCAAUUAUUAUGUACUUGGCCUGCAAUGCAGUUUUGCAGUGCGUGCCUGUACAGGUUUGUCGUGUGUUCUUGCAAAUAUCAAUCAACAUAAAACCACAAAACUUACAGUAGUGAAAUGACUUGGAUGCCCGGGAGGUCUGCAAUUUGGUUCUCCCAUCUUAUCCAGUGUUUUUUGUUUGACUGCACAUAAAAUGUUCAAGUUACUAAACUUACCAAUUUGUAUUGGUGAGUUUAGUAAAUGUUUUAAGGUGUAGAUGUGACCAAGCUUAAUGCAUCUUUGUUAAGAUUUACAUUUCUAAUGCCAUUUUUUUUUUGUUUUUGUUUAAUGGAUGAAGAAAAUUAAAACACUGAAAACUGUGAUCUUUAAAAUGAUGUUCAAUUAUAAAAAAAAAAAAAAACACUGCAUUGUUGCGUGCUUUCAGUUCUUGAAACUCUGUCUACUCAGUGCGGGAUAUGUGGAUUCAGUAUUUACAGAAUGUUCUUUUAGUUUUUAUAGAGCAUAUCUAAGAUAUUCAAGGAAAAUGGCAGCUUGGGAAGAAGAAAUGAUACUCGACACGCCAUUGGCGGCUGUUUGCAAAGCAACAAUCUAGUCAUCUUCCUUUGGAGUUGAUUUGCUUUGCUGCUGUUCCCCCAAGAGUGAAGUAAACAUGGAUGUUAGGUUGUCCAGUAUCAUGACAGUAGUAAGGUAUUUGUUGUUUAAACUAUUAAAUUACACAUUUAUAAGCAUUUAGUUGGGAUCUCAAGUACUUGCAAAUUCCGGCUUUUGCCAGGCAGRUCUGGUCCCAAACCCCAGCAAGUACCGAGGAUGCACUGUAAUGCUUGGGGAUUUUUAUUCAUUAAUGUUGCAGAAAAUUUUGCAAACCUAAUAAAAAAUCCAAAGUUGUUCUAACUAAGACUAUAUGGACCCUUUUACCUCAGAUAAAGAUGCUAGAAAAUAAAUUCACUGAACACACAGAUAGUGAAGAACUACCUCAGUGCAGUUUCAUCAGUUUUAGGUCAGUUUAUUCCGUUUAGGUCGUUUUUAGCUCAAAGGAGUUUGGAAACUUUGUACUGUGCACACACACCUGAGAACACGCAUACAUACAAACACACAUGCAGAAACAUGUUUGACUGUAAACUUGGUGGACAAGCUGAAGCAGAACAACACACUAAAUUUGUGAUUGUAUUUUCAUUGUGUCCAAUUGGAGUUGCAAUAUUAUAUUUUUUUAUACAAUGGAAAUUUUUCCUGAAUAUUGAUUUCUAAUCAAAUUCCCCGGCCCUGGAUCAUCAUAAACAUGUUGGUUAUGAACAGCAGUCCCACAUGUGAAGGCUUACGGUUACGUAACUGUGACUAGAGAAAAAUGAAACCUUGUUUUGAAGAGCAGUGCCUGUACAUUUUUAUUCAUUUUGUGAUUUUUGUUUUACUUUUCCACAAACUGUAAUACUGAGGGCAGCAGCAAAUGUGGAGAAUGUUGGCGAAAACCUAAAUGUCACUGACUAAUUAAGAUUUGUACCAGCAGAUUUCAGCUGUUUGCACCAGAACAGGGACGACAGAAGGACCCUACUCUGAUGAUUCUGAUGUUAUCAUGAUUAUUAUCGAUAUUGGUGUGUGGGGUGAAUCUAGGAGGGGCUCCUCCCUCUGAUAUUCAAUAUAUAGAAACAUAUUUGGAAUAAAAAAGGAAAAAAACAUUUUAAAAAGUCA